GCCUGACGCAGCAACGCCGCGUGGAGGAUGAAGGCCUUCGGGUCGUAAACUCCUGUCAGUGGGGACGAAAGCCUCGCAAGAGGUUUGACUGUACCCGCUGAGGAAGCCACGGCUAACUCCGUGCCAGCAGCCGCGGUAAUACGGAGGUGGCAAGCGUUGUUCGGAAUUACUGGGCGUAAAGGGCGCGUAGGCGGCUUGGCAAGUCAGAUGUGAAAGCCCCGGGCUUAACUCGGGAAUUGCAUCUGAAACUGCUUUGCUUGAGUCCUGGAGGGGAUAGUGGAAUUCCCAGUGUAGCGGUGAAAUGCGUAGAUAUUGGGAGGAACACCUGCGGCGAAGGCGGCUAUCUGGACAGUGACUGACGCUGAGGCGCGAAAGCUAGGGGAGCGAACGGGAUUAGAUACCCCGGUAGUCCUAGCUGUAAACGGUGGGCACUUGGUGUUGGGGGUAUUGAGUCCCUCGGUGCCGGAGUUAACACGUUAAGUGCCCCGCCUGGGGAGUACGGUCGCAAGACUG
rnacentral:rRNA from 1 species